rnacentral:rRNA from 1 species
GACGAACGCUGGCGGCGCGCUUAACACAUGCAAGUCGAACGGAAAGGCCUGCUUUCCCUUGUGGAUUGCGGGUACUCGAGUGGCGAACGGGUGAGUAACACGUGAGUGAUCUGCCCCCAACUUGGGUAUAAGCCUGGGAAACUGGGUCUAAUUCCCGAUAGGACUGCAGGGUGGUGCCUGUGGUGGAAAACGAUUUUCUAGUGGUUGGGGAUGAGCUCGCGGCCUAUCAGCUUGUUGGUGGGGUAAUGGCCUACCAAGGCGGCGACGGGUAGUCGGCCUGAGAGGGUGGACGGCCACAUUGGGACUGAGAUACGGCCCAGACUCCUACGGGAGGCAGCAGUGGGGAAUAUUGCACAAUGGGCGGAAGCCUGAUGCAGCGACGCCGCGUGGGGGAUGACGGCCUUCGGGUUGUAAACUCCUUUCGACCGCGAGGAAGCCACCUGGUUGGAAGGGUGGUGACGGUAGUGGUAGAAGAAGCACCGGCUAACUACGUG